UCUCCGUUGGUGAACCAGCGGAGGGAUCAUUACAGAGUUGCAAAACUCCCAAACCCUUGUGAACGUUACCUAUCCCGUUGCUUCGGCGGGCGGCCCGGGCCCCGCGCCCGGCGCCCCCCGGCCCCCCGUGGGCGCCCGCCGGAGGUAAACCAAACCCUUGAAUUACAUGGCCUCUCUGAGUCUUCUGUACUGAAUAAGUCAAAACUUUCAACAACGGAUCUCUUGGUUCUG
rnacentral:misc_RNA from 1 species